AAGUCGUAACAAGGUUUCCGUAGGUGAACCUGCGGAAGGAUCAUUACAAAUCCACCACGUCUCUCUCCUUUCGAGACCUCGUUGAACGUGUCACACACAGGAAGAGCGAGCAGGGGAAGAGAGAGAGAGAGAGAGAGAGAGAGGGCUGCCUGCGUAUGCGCGCGCAUGCUCUCUUGCUCUUGCUCUUGCUCUUGCUCUUGCUCCUGCUCCUCUCUUCCUUGAACUUUUCUAGUUUGAUAUCAUGUUGGUUGUCAGUAGUGUGUUAUACUCUUCUUCUCCUCCCCUUUUUCCUUUUUCCUUUUUCCUUUUUCUUCUUCUUGGCUUGCCUGACAAGCCAAGCAAGCAGCGAAAAUGAAAGAGAGAGAGAGAGACAAAGAGAGAGAGAAAGAGUGUGUACCAUGUAACAACUUAUAACAAUGGAUCUCUAGGCUCUU
rnacentral:misc_RNA from 1 species